rnacentral:rRNA from 1 species
AGAAUCAACGCUGGCGGCGUGCCUCAGACAUGCAAGUCGAACGAUUAAAGCUCUCUUCGGAGAGUGCAUAGAGUGGCGCACGGGUGAGUAACACGUAAGUAAUCUACCCUCGAGUGGGGAAUAACGUCCGGAAACGGACGCUAAUACCGCAUAAUGCAGCGGCACCGCAAGGUGACAGUUGUUAAAGAUUUAUCGCUUGAGGAGGAGCUUGCGGCAGAUUAGCUAGUUGGUAAGGUAAUGGCUUACCAAGGCUACGAUCUGUAACCGGUCUAAGAGGACGGUCGGUCACACUGACACUGAAUAACGGGGUCAGACUCCUACGGG